rnacentral:snRNA from 1 species
CCCCGUCGUGCCCGGACC